GACAGAGAAGAAGCGACAGAGAUGAAGCGAGGGAGGUGACGGAGAUGGAAGCCCGUUGGCUGGGGAAAACCUGUCUAACAGUGGCUUUGCCUCCAUCGCGCUGGCAGACCACACAGCAGACCUUCCCUGAAACACAAAGACAGCGCAAACGGGGAGCUGCUUGGGACUCUCCUAAUCACUCUCUAAACAGAGCCAGGUGCUGUUGCCACAGACAAACUGUCACCAACACUCUGCUCAACACAGCUGCCGUCUAGCCCCAGACACCCGCGGCACCGCAGGCUACCGCAGCAUGACGGGCAGGACGACGACACCUGAAAAACAUGCCAGCUCCGCGUGGGCGCGAUCACAGCAAGUGAUGCAGAAGGCCCAGCGCCGCAGGCAGAGGGGCCGACCCGCCGCGUCCAUCGUGUCCAUCCGGUGCCGUGAACCAAAUUUCCGGUGCAGCUCACACAUGUUGAAUCAGUGACAGAUUUGAAUCUAGCAGUUUAACCCCACCGCCUCGCCGUUCUGCUUCACAGCGUCACAGUAACGCAAUUACAACAACACGUUUGCAGGACAACAACAAUUAGCGCAGGACGACAACUAUUCUAUUCCAUAAAUGCUUCACUUAAUGAUUUCUGCAGAUGUGAAUAAUGUUAACAUCAGUGUGAUGUCACAUUAUGUGGUCGGACUGCAGCUGUGUGAGCAGUCAGAGGUGAAGUUCUGGGGUAUGUGCGUGUUUUCCUGUGUGACUUCAGUGGUUAAAAUGACAGUUCAGACAGAAGAUGAAACACUAAUACAACACAAAAACAAACAUUGUGAGAGCCCUACAUCCACCAUGGCUUAACCAUCAACAUCAAAAGUACCAAAUUCCAGGGCAAUAUUUUUUAUUUAAAUUCAUAUCGUGUAAUCUGUCCCCU
ensembl:lncRNA